rnacentral:tRNA from 1 species
AGUUUAUGCCUAAGUGAUUACUCACUUAGUGACACUGAAAAGGUAUUUCCAAUGUAUCACCAUUUUGAGUAGAGACAUAACCCUGGCAUGAAAAAAUUGUGUUUCUUGAAGAGUUAAGGAAAUGCAAGCUGAAAAUGAAAAUCGUUGUUUCAUCUACUUUAUUCCCUAUAGGAUUUUAUUUUUUUAUUUUAUUUUUUGUCUUUUUAGGGCCGCACCCUCGACAUAUGAAGGUUCCCAGGCUAGGGGUCGAAUAAGAUCUACGGCUGCCGGCCUACACCACAGUCACAGCAUCAUGGGAUCUGACCCACAUCUGCGACUUACACUACAGCUCAUGGCAACACUAGAUCCUUAACCCACUGAGCAAGUCCAGGGAUUGAACCUGCAUUCUCAUGGAUACUAGUUGGAUUUGUUAACCACUGAGCCAUGACGGGAACUCUCCCCAUAGGAUUUUUUUUUUUUUUUUAAGCAUAGUGGCACCUCCUAUGGGAUUUUAAAUUUCAGUCUUGAGUGACUUAAGCUCUCUGUUCAAGUGCUCUUUGUACCUGAGCAGUUAUGAGUGACUCUGGUGCACAUGACUUGGCACCUUUCAUAUUAUCUUCUCCCAGGUUCAACACUGUUGAAUGCCACAUCUGCCUUGCCAGUUACAUUAGUAAACAUUCUAGGAGAUGCCCCAGAGAGUUCCUUUUAAGUUCAGUUUUGUCUUGCUUCAAAAUGAAGCUCUGGUUCCCCUGUACCUCUGCCUUUUUUCUGGUUUUCCUACAUUUUCUGGUGGCAUGGGGUUUUGUCUCAAAGAUGGGUGAUUAUUUUUCUCCUCGAGAAUGAAGUAGAUGGUGUGGCUGAUUCCAUGCACUGAUACUGAGUUGUGAUUUUAAAAAUUCCAAAAUCAUGCCCCUCGACAGAUAGGAAGGAGAUGUACAGAAACACUAUAAAUAUCAUCCAGAAGCUUGCUUCAGGCCAUUAAGCCCAACCCCACUUUCUCCAUUAGGCCUUUUGUAGGAUGCUCUUGUAUUGCCGCCGUCUUCAGAGUUUAUGUGAAUUAAGAGAAUCUAUUAUUACAACGACACACGAGCUUUGGAAAUUUAAAAGCACACACACUGUGGAAGCAUGGCCUGACCCUUUUAAUCAGAAUUUACAUCCAAAACUCACCAAGCGUGAGACCCUAAAAUCAUCUGCAACCCUCUCAUUAAAUAUUUAAUCUGGUUUUCUUCCUUCUCUCUUAGUCUCACUCUGACUCAGCAUAAGGUCAGGAUUCCUUGACUGGUCCUCACUUGACUUUAAGAAUAACUCCGUGAGAGGCCAGAGGCCCUCUGAAAUGGUCGUUUAAUCCAACCACAUAGAUCACGUGAUUGGUUGCUCCGUGGCCUCAAUUAUGGUUGUGUUAAUUAUGCUCUUUGUCCUGCCUUCCUUUCUCUGUUUUUUGAGAGGUUCCAGGGAGCAAGGUUGCAGUUCUUCAAGAACAGACCUUGGCCAGGGUCCACCCAGUAGAGCGCUUAUCACAGCACUCUAUCUAGGAAGCUGUCGGGGCACGUCUGGCUGCUCCAUGCGAUUGUGGCCUCUGGAGGGCAGAAGCCAUGACUUCCUCAGCUCUCAGUCCCUUUCCUUCCUCAAAGGUAUAUCACACACCUCCCGUGUGCCAGGCACCAGGGGAUACAAAGAGGAUUACAUGCAGUCCCUACUCUCAAAGAAACCCUCUGUUUAGGAAGAGAGAAAGAAAUGUAAUGAGCAUAAUAAUAAUGAGUGGCAUCCGUUUACCAUUGCCCGUGUGCCAGGUUUUGUGUUAAGCAUUUAAUGGACCAUCCCAAUAAAAACCCCGUGAUGGAGAGACUUUGGGCAGCUCUGUUUCAUCAUUGAGAAAACCCACAAAAUUCUGUAACUUAUGCACAGACAAGAGAGUCUGGAAAAAAGCAUUCCCUUAAUGAACCCCUGAAUGAUAGAGCCUAUGGGUCCCUAUGCCAUACAGCAGAAAUCAACAGAACAUUGGAAAUCAACUACAAUAAAAAAACCUUAAAAAAAAAAAAAAAAGAUGUAGGCUGAGAAAGCGUAUCCAAGAACUAGGAGCAUUUAGGGUCCUGGAAGCCAAAAUAUGAGAUGAUCUCAAGAAGGUAAAACAUGUUGCAAUGGUGUCAAGAAGAAUAAGAAUUAAUUCAGUGUUUCUGGGAUCAUAAUAAGCAAAUAGGUAUUUGAAGGCAAGGAUCUCGUAGCAGUUCUUCACUCAUGUAUUGCCUGUGCCUAGAACAUGCCUGCACAUCGGAUAUGCUCAAUAAGUGUCUAUGGAAUGAAUUAAUGAGUGAAUAAUGUAGGGAGGAACUCAGAUUGCCCAGGGUUAAGGUAAAAGUAGGAUGUUAAGAAAUUUAGUCUACCGAGAGUAUACAAUGUAAAACUUGAAAGGAGACUACAUGGAGUCCAAAAGAAAAGGACUUUGUUACAACUAAAGAAAUGGGAGAAAUGAGCAUCUCAUAGGAGGCAGUGGAGGAGAAGAUGAAAAGGCAUAAGAGUCAGAGAUAACUAAUCAUAAGGUUCUGGAGUAGCAGAAAUGUAUGGGAGAUCCCACUGUGACCCAACAGGAUCAGCAGUGUCUAGAUCGGCAGCGUCUUGGGAGUGCUGGGAUGCAGGUUCAAUCCCCGGCUGCUUUGAUCCCAGGCCUGGCAGAGUGGGUUAAGGAUCUAGUAUUGCUGCAGCUGCGGCUCGGAUCUGAUCCCUGGUCCGAGAACUCCGUGUGCCAUGGGGCAGCAAAAAAAAAAAGAAAGUAUGAAAUCAAGAAUAAAGAUGAGUUAUGGACUUAUCUAUGUUUGCCUCAUGAAAAAGAGCUUCUCUGCUUCCUGAGGGAGGGUAGAAAGACAUGGUAGCCGUGCCCUGUUAUCUGCUUUUCUGACUUUGGUCCUCCCUUUGUUUCAAAUCUGGAGAUUUCCUUUUCUAGGUCUUAAGCUUGCAUUUAAAUUCAUUUUGUUACAUUUUGUAUAGAAAUUCAUUUUGCAUGGAGUGUGUGUGUGGGCGGGGGGAGAGGGGUAUGUUCCCUAUCAAUUAAAUCUUUCAUAUUAACCUGAAAUUCACUUUAUUUUUUUUAGUGCUACACCUGCAGCAUAUGGAGGUUCCCAGGCUAGGGGUCUGAUCAGAGCUACAGCUGCCAGCCUACGCCACAGCCACAGCAAUGCUAGAUCCAAGCCACGUCUGCCACCUACACCACAGCUCAUGGCAAUGCCAGAUUCUUAACUCACGGAGCGAGGCCAGGGAUCGAACCCACAACCUCACGGUUCCUAGUCAGAUUCAUUUCCACUGUGCCACAUCAGGAACUCCUGAAAUUCACUUUUUAAAUCAAAGCAAAAGGAUAUUAUACUUAACAAUCUGAAUGGACUCAAUUGAAGAACAAAGCACAGCAAAAAGGAAAGACAAGGAAGAUAAGAUGAGUUAACCUUGCAAAAUAAAAGGCUUAGGGUUGGAUACAGUCAGGAACUGAAUCAAAAGGGGAAAGGGAAAAGAAUGUGUGACGAUCCAAAGAAACGUUUUAUGUAAUAAGGACUUUAGUUACAGCAAGAUUACUAGAGUAGUGACAAGUGGAUUUGAAUGGUACUGGAAAUCAGAAAGUCCAUCUUUCAGUAGCUCUCUUGUCAAUACGUUGUAUAAAAUUUAGAUUUUUACGGGUGUUUAAAAUCAUUUAUACCUAAAAAUAAAUUAUACAGCCUAGAAGUCAUGAUGAAUGUGACUCUAUUACAAAAUCACAAGAGAAGAGAGGGUCUCAUAUCUUUCUUUAGGGGGCGAAGCAAAAUGAGUUACCAGCAAGCUUUCCCUGAGCAGUAGCCUGUAGGAUUGUACAAGGCCAGAGAAGGAAGAAGAGUCCAGGCAGAGGGGAUGACGGCAGGGUGGGGGUCUUAAAAGCUGGAGCUGAGAGUGAGCAGUUUUAGGACCAGGAUGAAGGAUGUGGUUUGGGACUUGUGGAAGGUAAGCUAGAUUGGUUUGACAGGGGACAUUAUGGGUGAUUGAGAAAUUUGAACUCUUUCUUAAAAAUGGAUAGCAAGCAUGUGAUGGGUUUUAAUCAGAGGAAGGAUAAAAUUAGAUCUUUAUCAUUUAAAAAAAUUCUAAUGACUUUCAGAUAAACAGAUCAGCCAAAAUAGAUAAGGUUGGUGGCUUCUGGAGAAACAGCAAAUAUUGGAUGAGCAUGAGUAACACUGUUGUCCUAGAAGUGAUAUAAAUUCAUUAUAACCUCUUUAAAAAAUCUCCCUGUAUGAGUGGUCUUGAAAGUGUCAGUACUUUUAUCCUAUGAGGGAGUUCCCUGGUGGUCUAGUGGUUAGGAUUCAGAGCUUUCACCUCUGCAGCCCAGGUUCAGUCCCUGGUCUGGGAACUGAGAUCCUACAUAAAGCUGCUGCAUGCCAU